CCUACGGGAGGCAGCAGUGGGGAAUAUUGCACAAUGGAGGAAACUCUGAUGCAGCGACGCCGCGUGAAUGAUGAAGGCCUUAGGGUCGUAAAGCUCUGUCUUAAGGGAUGAUAAUGACGGUACCUUAGGAGGAAGCCCCGGCUAACUACGUGCCAGCAGCCGCGGUAAU
rnacentral:rRNA from 1 species